GCGCAAUUAAAAUAUAAUAAUGACGUCUCAAAAAACCCUAUUUAUCAUUGUAGAUUUUCGUAUGGCAUACAAAUAAUUAUAAUUAAUAUAUAUAUAUAUAUAAAAGAAAAUGUCUCUAAUAUUUCUUCUCUCAGACUAAGGAAGAAAAAAAAAAGAAAUUAUAAUUAUGUUCUAUCCUCUACUGUCAUUGCUUAGGUUAUUUGCUCUUUCUCACAGACAUGUAUAGCUAAUUAAUCUUUUUAGUUAUGCUUAGUGUGAUGAAUGGAUGUAUUCUUAGAUAGCAGGAAUCUUCUGUGCCUACGUGCUUCGGUCUUGAGCAUGUCAUGUAAUCCUCCACUUCAAGUUUCGAAUCGACUGUUCUGUGGAAGGAGCUAAAUGACUGAGAUAUGGUGUAGGCUUGUGGAAUAUGUUCUCUAGGUUGACAUUUAAGCUUGUUAGUUUCUGCUUUGACAGAUUAGUGGAGGUCUUGGAAGCGUGUUGCGAGUGAACAUGAGCAUGGAGAUCAGCAAGGUUAUGGAGUAUGAGGCAACUGCCAAGCAGAAGUUGCCUAAGAUGGUCUUUUGAUUGCUAUGCCUCGGGCGCAGAGGGCCAAUGGACUUUGAAGGAGAACAGGGCGGCCUUUUCAAUGAUUCUGUUUCGCCGUUGCAUACUCAUUGAUGUCUCCAAGGUUGAUAUGACCACAACUGUACUAGGUUUUAAGAUAUUGACCAUGAUUGCUCCAACAGCAAUGUAGAAGAUGGCCCAUCCCGAUGAUUGAUUAUUAUUUAAGAAAAUUAAAGGAGGAAGUCAUUUACAGGACGAAGUGCAAUGCCUUAACUGUAUCAUAUACAAAAAUGGUGUCUGAGUCCCUGAUUUGGUGGGGCAAUCUACCAAGCAGCAUGGAUUAAUCAAGAGAACUGAAUAGAGAAGCACAAAUUUGUUAGAUUUGCUUCAUUGUGCACUUGAGACUUCCACUUGCCAAAGUAAUGCUCAGAUCAUGUAGCUGAUUCCCUUCAGCUCUUUGCUAACUGCAAAUAUGCUAUCCUGAAGAUUAAUGCUAUGUACCCGAGUGUUCACCUUAUUGACAUAUAUCAAACACUGUCAUCAUGGGCAACUUCCAGAAUCGAAGAGGUUGCUUCUACAGGACCAGGAAUUUGAUUCUUCCAGCUCUAUGUGUAUAAGGAUAGGCACAUAGUUGCACAGCUUGUCCAAAGAGCUGAAAGAGCAGGAUUCAAGGCAAUACCACUUACGGUCGACACUCCAAGACAUGGCCGGAGAUAAGCAGACAUCAAGAACAAAUUCACUUUGCCACCAUUUUUGACACUCAAAAAACUUUGAGGGUUUGGACCUUGGAAAGAUGGACAAGACCGAUGACUCUGGCCUUCCUCAUAUGUAGCGGGUCAAAUUGAUCGAUCAUUAAGCUGGAAGCGAGACUUGCCAUUCAAGCGGGUGCAGCUGGUAUCACUGUCUCCAACCAUGGAGCUCGUCAGCUUGAUUACGUUCCAGCUACUAUCAGUGCACUGGAAGAGGUUGUCAAAGCCGCACAGGGCCGUGUUCCUGUCUUUCUUGACGGUGGCGCUCGCAGAGGAACUGAUGUGUUCAAGGCUUUAGCUUUGGGAGCCUCUGGUGUCUUUGUGAGCAAACAUGGCAAAGAAAGAUUCAUCGCUUCUCCCACAUUCCAAGAUUCCACAUGAAACAAGAAAGUUACCUGUGAAUUCUGGUCGAUUGCAGAUCGGAAGGCCUGUGGCGUUUGCUUUGGCUGCUGAAGGUGAAGCUGGAGUGAGGAAGGUGCUGCAGACUCUGAGAGACGAGUUUGAGCUGACAAUGGCAUCGAGUGGGUGCACUUCACCGAGAGAGAUCACCCGAAGUCACAUAGUGACUGAGGCAGACAGCCAUCUCCUUGCAUGCCUCGAGGUUAUGAUGCUCCUGAGGUGAUUGCCGGCCUCGUUCAACAAGAACAGAUCUGCAUCAAUAUCUCUUGAUGUUGGACUCUCUUCUAAUCGUGGCAAUGUAAUCUAAUUUUGUAUGUAUAUUCUUUUAGCAUAUUUGGUCACCAAUCUGAUUCAAGAAUUGCCAGAUGAAUUAUAUAUGCCAAACAAGAGAUUCUCUGUCAUGAUGAAUCAAUCUUAAAGAAUGAUAAAGCCAAUUUAUCAUGGUCUUAGGAACA